rnacentral:SRP_RNA from 1 species
GCUAGGCACCGUGGCUCAUGCCUGUAACUGCAGCACUUUGGGAGGCCAAGGUGGGUGGAUCAGGAGGUCAAGAGAUCGAGACCAUCCUGGCUAACAUGGUGAAACCCCGUCUCCACUAAAAAUACAAAAANUUUUUGUAUUUUUAGUGGAGACGGGGUUUCACCAUGUUAGCCAGGAUGGUCUCGAUCUCUUGACCUCCUGAUCCACCCACCUUGGC